ACGGAUGGUGCAAGCGUUAUUCGGAAUCACUGGGCAUAAAGGGCAUGUAGGCGGCGCUGUAAGUCAGUGGUGAAAUCCCUCGGCUCAACCGAGGAACUGCCAUUGAAACUGUAGUGCUAGAGUGCGGGAGGGGCAGACGGAAUUCCAGGUGGAGCGGUGAAAUGCGUAGAUAUCUGGAGGAACGCCAGGGGCGAAAGCGGUCUGCUGGCCCGCAACUGACGCUGAGGUGCGAAAGCUAGGGGAGCAAACAGG
rnacentral:rRNA from 1 species